GGGUUGUGAGGUUAAGCGACUAAGCGUACACGGUGGAUGCCCUGGCAGUCAGAGGCGAUGAAGGGCGUGCUAAUCUGCGAUAAGCGCCGGUAAGGUGAUAUGAACCGUUAUAACCGGCGAUACCCGAAUGGGGAAACCCAGUGUGACUCGUCACACUAUCAUUAACUGAAUCCAUAGGUUAAUGAGGCGAACCGGGGGAACUGAAACAUCUAAGUACCCCGAGGAAAAGAAAUCAACCGAGAUUCCCCCAGUAGCGGCGAGCGAACGGGGAGGAGCCCAGAGCCUGAAUCAGCAUGUGUGUUAGUGGAAGCGUCUGGAAAGGCGCGCGAUACAGGGUGACAGCCCCGUACACAAAAGCGCAUGUGCUGUGAGCUCGAUGAGUAGGGCGGGACACGUGGUAUCCUGUCUGAAUAUGGGGGGACCAUCCUCCAAGGCUAAAUACUCCUGACUGACCGAUAGUGAACCAGUACCGUGAGGGAAAGGCGAAAAGAACCCCGGCGAGGGGAGUGAAAAAGAACCUGAAACCGUGUACGUACAAGCAGUGGGAGCACAGGUUUACCUGUGUGACUGCGUACCUUUUGUAUAAUGGGUCAGCGACUUAUAUUCUGUAGCAAGGUUAACCGAAUAGGGGAGCCGGAGGGAAACCGAGUCUUAACCGGGCGUUAAGUUGCAGGGUAUAGACCCGAAACCCGGUGAUCUAGCCAUGGGCAGGUUGAAGGUUGGGUAACACUAACUGGAGGACCGAACCGACUAAUGUUGAAAAAUUAGCGGAUGACCUGUGGCUGGGGGUGAAAGGCCAAUCAAACCGGGAGAUAGCUGGUUCUCCCCGAAAGCUAUUUAGGUAGCGCCUCGUGAAUUCAUCUCCGGGGGUAGAGCACUGUUUCGGCUAGGGGGCCAUCCCGGCUUACCAACCCGAUGCAAACUGCGAAUACCGGAGAAUGUUAUCACGGGAGACACACGGCGGGUGCUAACGUCCGUCGUGAAGAGGGAAACAACCCAGACCGCCAGCUAAGGUCCCAAAGUCAUGGUUAAGUGGGAAACGAUGUGGGAAGGCCCAGACAGCCAGGAUGUUGGCUUAGAAGCAGCCAUCAUUUAAAGAAAGCGUAAUAGCUCACUGGUCGAGUCGGCCUGCGCGGAAGAUGUAACGGGGCUAAACCAUGCACCGAAGCUGCGGCAGCGAACGUAUCACUUAAAGCGAUUCAGCGGGUUACGAUUGACGGAGCGAAGCGACGUCAAAGCGUAUACAAAGUCGAGUCGGUUUAAGGAUACGUUCGUUGGGUAGGGGAGCGUUCUGUAAGCCUGUGAAGGUGUGUCGUGAGGCAUGCUGGAGGUAUCAGAAGUGCGAAUGCUGACAUAAGUAACGAUAAAGCGGGUGAAAAGCCCGCUCGCCGGAAGACCAAGGGUUCCUGUCCAACGUUAAUCGGGGCAGGGUGAGUCGACCCCUAAGGCGAGGCCGAAAGGCGUAGUCGAUGGGAAACGGGUUAAUAUUCCCGUACUUGGUGUUACUGCGAAGGGGGGACGGAGAAGGCUAUGUUGGCCGGGCGACGGUUGUCCCGGUUUAAGCGUGUAGGCUGGUUUUCCAGGCAAAUCCGGAAAAUCAAGGCUGAGGCGUGAUGACGAGGCACUACGGUGCUGAAGCAACAAAUGCCCUGCUUCCAGGAAAAGCCUCUAAGCAUCAGGUAACAUCAAAUCGUACCCCAAACCGACACAGGUGGUCAGGUAGAGAAUACCAAGGCGCUUGAGAGAACUCGGGUGAAGGAACUAGGCAAAAUGGUGCCGUAACUUCGGGAGAAGGCACGCUGACACGUAGGUGAAGUGAUUUACUCAUGGAGCUGAAGUCAGUCGAAGAUACCAGCUGGCUGCAACUGUUUAUUAAAAACACAGCACUGUGCAAACACGAAAGUGGACGUAUACGGUGUGACGCCUGCCCGGUGCCGGAAGGUUAAUUGAUGGGGUCAGCGCAAGCGAAGCUCCUGAUCGAAGCCCCGGUAAACGGCGGCCGUAACUAUAACGGUCCUAAGGUAGCGAAAUUCCUUGUCGGGUAAGUUCCGACCUGCACGAAUGGCGUAAUGAUGGCCAGGCUGUCUCCACCCGAGACUCAGUGAAAUUGAACUCGCUGUGAAGAUGCAGUGUACCCGCGGCAAGACGGAAAGACCCCGUGAACCUUUACUAUAGCUUGACACUGAACAUUGAGCCUUGAUGUGUAGGAUAGGUGGGAGGCUUUGAAGCGUGGACGCCAGUCUGCGUGGAGCCGACCUUGAAAUACCACCCUUUAAUGUUUGAUGUUCUAACGUGGACCCGUGAUCCGGGUUGCGGACAGUGUCUGGUGGGUAGUUUGACUGGGGCGGUCUCCUCCUAAAGAGUAACGGAGGAGCACGAAGGUUGGCUAAUCCUGGUCGGACAUCAGGAGGUUAGUGCAAUGGCAUAAGCCAGCUUGACUGCGAGCGUGACGGCGCGAGCAGGUGCGAAAGCAGGUCAUAGUGAUCCGGUGGUUCUGAAUGGAAGGGCCAUCGCUCAACGGAUAAAAGGUACUCCGGGGAUAACAGGCUGAUACCGCCCAAGAGUUCAUAUCGACGGCGGUGUUUGGCACCUCGAUGUCGGCUCAUCACAUCCUGGGGCUGAAGUAGGUCCCAAGGGUAUGGCUGUUCGCCAUUUAAAGUGGUACGCGAGCUGGGUUUAGAACGUCGUGAGACAGUUCGGUCCCUAUCUGCCGUGGGCGCUGGAGAACUGAGGGGGCUGCUCCUAGUACGAGAGGACCGGAGUGGACGCAUCACUGGUGUUCGGGUUGUCAUGCCAAUGGCACUGCCCGGUAGCUAAAUGCGGAAGAGAUAAGUGCUGAAAGCAUCUAAGCACGAAACUUGCCCCGAGAUGAGUUCUCCCUGAGACUUAAAGUCUCCUGAAGGAACGUUGAAGACGACGACGUUGAUAGGCCGGGUGUGUAAGCGCAGCGAUGCGUUGAGCUAACCGGUACUAAUGAACCGUGAGGCUUAACCUUACAACGCCGAAG
rnacentral:rRNA from 2 species